rnacentral:rRNA from 1 species
AUUGAACGCUGGCGGCAUGCUUUACACAUGCAAGUCGAACGGUAACAGGUUAAGCUGACGAGUGGCGAACGGGUGAGUAAUGCAUCGGAACGUGCCCGGUCGUGGGGGAUAACGCAGCGAAAGCUGCGCUAAUACCGCAUACGAUCUGAGGAUGAAAGCGGGGGACCGUAAGGCCUCGCGCGAUCGGAGCGGCCGAUGUCAGAUUAGGUAGUUGGUGGGGUAAAGGCUCACCAAGCCAACGAUCUGUAGCUGGUCUGAGAGGACGACCAGCGACACUGGGACGGAGACACGGCCCAGACUCCUACGGGAGGCAGCAGUGGGGAAUUUUGGACAAUGGGCGAAAGCCUGAUCCAGCAAUGCCGCGUGCAGGAAGAAGGCCUUCGGGUUGUAAACUGCUUUUGUACGGAGCGAAAAGGUCUCCUCUAAUACAGGGGGCUCAUGACGGUACCGUAAGAAUAAGCACCGGCUAACUACGUGCCAGCCGCCGCGGUAA